rnacentral:precursor_RNA from 1 species
AAUAGCGUAUAUUAAGUUGCUGCAGUUAAAAAGCUCGUAGUUGGAUUUCUGGCACGAUGCGCCUGGCCCGCCACGGUUUCGCGUGUGAGUGCCGGGUCGGAUCUGCCAUCCUUCCAGAGAACGGUCCUACCCUUCACUGGGCCGGGGCCGCAAUCUGGAUCGUUUACUUUGAAAAAAUUAGAGUGUUUCAAGCAGGCGACUCGCUGUGAAUACAUUAGCAUGGAAUAAUAACUUAGGACUUCGGUUCUAUUUUGUUGGUUUCUAGGACUGAAGUAAUGAUUGAUAGGGAUAGUUGGGGGUGCUAGUACUCAGUGGCCAGAGGUGAAAUUCUCGGAUUCACUGAAGACUAACUUAUGCGAAAGCAUUCACCAAGGAUGUCUUCUUUAAUCAAGAACGAAAGUUGGGGGAUCGAAGACGAUCAGAUACCGUCGUAGUCUCAACUAUAAACUAUGCCGACUAGGGAUGAGUGAACGUUGCAUUUUCGACUUCAUUCGCACCUUAUGAGAAAUCAAAGUCUUUGGGUUCCGGGGGGAGUAUGGUCGCAAGGCUGAAACUUAAAGGAAUUGACGGAAGGGCACCACCAGGAGUGGAGCCUGCGGCUUAAUUUGACUCAACACGGGAAAACUUACCAGGUCCAGACAUAGUGAGGAUUGACAGAUUGAAGAUCUUUCUUGA